CCAGAGAUGGCGGGCCCCCGCGCCCCCGUCCCCAACCCUUUGUCGACCAACCACUUUUGCCUCGGGGGCAGAGCGGCCUCCGCCGCCCCCGGUGGACCACGUAACCCUGUCUCUGUACGUCGGAGUCUUUGAUAAAUAAAUGA
rnacentral:misc_RNA from 1 species